AGAGUUGAUCAUGGCUCAGGACGAACGCUGGCGGCAUGCUAACACAUGCAAGUCGAACGGAUCUGAUUCCUUCGGGAUGAAAGAUUAGUGGCGGACGGGUGAGUAAUGUAUGAGCAAUCUGCCCUUGUCAUUGGGAUAACAUAGGGAAACUUAUGCUAAUACCAAAUAUGACCACGGUAUCGCAUGGUACUGCGGUGAAAGCUCCGGCGGACAAGGAUGAGCUCAUAUCCUAUUAGUUAGUUGGUGAGAUAACAGCCCACCAAGACUGCGAUGGGUAGCCGAGCUGAGAGGCUGAUCGGCCACAUUGGGACUGAAACACGGCCCAGACUUCUACGGAAGGCAGCAGUGGGGAAUAUUGGUCAAUGGAGGCAACUCCUGAACCAGCAAUGCCGCGUGAGUGAAGAAAAUCUUACGAUUGUAAAGCUCUAAACUUAGGAACGAUAAUGACGGUACCUAAGGAUAAGCCCCGGCUAACUACGUGCCAGCAGCGGC
rnacentral:rRNA from 1 species